rnacentral:rRNA from 1 species
AAGCGUGCGCAGGCGGUUUUGUAAGACUGUCGUGAAAUCCCCCGGGCUCAACCUGGGAAUGGCGAUGGUGACUGCAAGGCUAGAGUUUGGCAGAGGGGGGUAGAAUUCCACGUGUAGCAGUGAAAUGCGUAGAUAUGUGGAGGAACACCGAUGGCGAAGGCAGCCCCCUGGGUCAAAACUGACGCUCAUGCACGAAAGCGUGGGGAGCAAACAGGAUUAGAUACCCUAGU